AUUGAACGCUGGCGGCAGGCCUAACACAUGCAAGUCGAGCGAGCGGCGGACGGGUGAGUAAUGUCUGGGAAACUGCCUGAUGGAGGGGGAUAACUACUGGAAACGGUAGCUAAUACCGCAUACCAUCAGAUGUGCCCAGAUGGGAUUAGCUAGUAGGUGGGGUAACUGCUCACCAAGGCGACGAUCCCUAGCUGGUCUGAGAGGAUGACCAGCCACACUGGAACUGAGACACGGUCCGGACUCCUACGGGAGGCAGCAGUGGGGAAUAUUGCACAAUGGGCGCAAGCCUGAUGCAGCCAUGCCGCGUGUGUGAAGAAGGCCUUCGGGUUGUAAAGCACUGUCAGCGGGGAGGCGUUACCCGCAGAAGAAGCACCGGCUAGCUCCGUGCCAGCGGCCGCGGUAAUAC
rnacentral:rRNA from 1 species